UGGGCAUCCUUCGAAAGGCGGAGUGCGGGGAGUCAACCAUAGAAAACGUGACCCACGACGCUGGUUUUCUUCCCAAGGGCAGAGCUGAAGCCAGAAGGCAUUUGCAAAGAAGGUUCCUCUAGGUCCCACCCCCGGGGGGCCAGAUGAUGCCUGGUGCGCAUGCUGAACAGCCCGCCUGGGAGAACCCAGAGAGGAGAACGUCGAUGUUCAGAGACUUGAAGCUCCGCCCCCAGGAGUCAAAGGCAGGGGGCCACUCCUUCCAGGCAUCCGGAGGCUUCUAGAAUCAUCCGAUACGCUGUCCACAAAAAUGGAGCCCUCCUUCUUACGGGAGCUCUUUACCAAACAUGUGACGGGGUACAGCCUAGUGAACUCUCCCAAAGUGAACUCACCGCGUCCCCGGCAUGUGUGAAGACACAGAAGGCCCCCUGGCCACCUCCCCCCACCUUCCCCAAGGGGAUCCUACGGGUUUGAAACCUGCUUCUGUCCAUCCGACGGCGCGUCGAGAAGAGCUUUCUGCACCGACUGACUGGGGCGUCUUCGGUUUGAAUGUCCUACCGCUCGCUACACCCAGCGCCCGUUGUCAGCACUUGGGGCUGCUUCUAAGCGUCAAAGCCUGACUUUCGCGGCCCUUCAUACGGCACAGCGGCCCCAGGCUGCUGCCGCUGGACUCUCGCCUUUUCUUCAAGUCCUUGGGCUGGUGCAGCUCGUCGGCCUGGCGGCCACGUCUAUUUUUUACAUACUCAGACACAUCGCGCCCCCUCCGCCUCCACUGCCUGGAGCUGUUUUCCUGGUCAGAGCUCAGGAAGGAGGUCCGGGCUUGGGGGGGUAGGGGAGGGGUGGGCCAGAUUUAACAGUCAGCGACCUGUGCGCAGGGAUCAAGGAACACCCUCCACUUCUCCGAGUAAUGGAGACACAGCGACGUCUUUGCCCCUAAAACACGUUCUGCAAAACACACGCAUUUCUACCCUUUGCCAGAAAACCGUGGGAAACCAGUGUUUCACUGUGGCAGGUGAAUAUUGGACCGACUGCGACAGCCUUCCCGGCUCAGCUCACAGAGAAACACGGAUGUGGUUUUAUAGGUCUUGGAGCAGGGUCCCUCCACCGGGCCCUACGGGGCCAGAAGCCUCUGUCUCGUGGGGGCUGUCCUGUGUGCUACAGAAUGUCUGGCGGCCUCCCUGGCCUCCACCCGCAAGAUGCCAGUAGCAUCCCCUCCCUGUCCCCAACUGUGACCCCCAAAAAACGUUGCCAGACAUCGUCAGGAGACCCGUGCUGCCCUAGCCUCCCCUCGCCACGCUCUCCUUUGAGAACCACUACUCUGGACGACAGCUACUCUUUUAUUCAAUGUGGGACGUAUUGUUUUAAAUACAGUUUUUAAAUGUUUAUUUUUGAGAGAGAGAGAGAGAGAGAGAGAGCGUGAGUGGAGGAGGGGUAGAGAGAGGGAGACACAGAAUCUGAAGCAGGCUCCAGCUCCCAGCUGUCAGCACAGAGCGGGAUGCGGGGCUCGAACUCAUGACCGACUGAGCCGCCCAGGCACCACCCCCCCCUUAUUUUUUUUCAGACCAGAGAGUGAAUAUUAUAGCUUGUGUGGGCCAAGGGGCAAAAUUGAGGAUAGUAUAUAAGUUUCUAUAAAACCAUUUCAAAGGUAACCCUUUAAAACUAUCAAAAACAUGCCUAGUUCUCGGAGCGGAAGGGAAAAAGGCAAAAAAAAAUCAGUGAGGCUGCUGGAGGGCUGUAGUUCACCAAGCCGGUUUAGAGGGAAAAUAACAACUCACAUUCAUUCAGUAUUUGCCUGCGUACCAGCACUGAUCUGCUCAAGUCCCUUCCAGGGAGAAGAGAGCACGUGCAAAGGGCCUGAGGCAGGAGAUUCUUGGUGUGCCGGAGGAGCAGGUGGGGGGAUGCAGGUCCCAAAGCCACGCCGGGAAGACAUGAACUCGGGAAGGGUCCACGAGACACGGUUAAAUCAGAGUCCCUACAGAGAAAAAGAGUCGACCCAACGGGUCCCACACAUCCAUGCAUUCAACAGAUGUAUCCAAGCCCCUUGUGUUCUCUUCUGCCUCCCAAGAUUCAGGCCGGUGAAGGCUGAGGCCGGGCAGGUCUGUGGAGACUGGAGAGCUCAGCCCAGGGCUCAGCGUCCCCAGGCCAGGCUGCGGAAAGAGGGUGCCUGGAUCUGCCAGACCACGGGACUCACGCCGUGAUCGGGACACGGCCCCUUCCAAGCUAAUGACGAGGUCCUCCGUAGACACACACAGCAGGGAGCGGAAGGGAGCCCCGAAGCAAAGCUCUGAGUUCGCUGAACCUCCAGCCGCGUCAGCCUCAGCCAAAAAAGCGUGGUGGGCCCUGUUUGUGGUUUCAUCCCUCUCUCGCUGCCUCCUUUCCUUCUCCGAAGCCCAGGACGGGUGGGAAAGGACCUCCCACCGUAAGAAGGAAGGCGCACGAUAGCUGGUGUGCAAUGAGUGUGUCACGUGCGCUAAGUGGGUUAUGUUGUCGGAAGAGAUCGCGAGACGGACAAAGGGAGACUGUCGGGUGUGCAUUCGGUGAGCGGAUGCUGCAUCGUUAGGAAUGCAGAUGAUUUUGUCCCUGGAAAUGCAGAUAAGUUUUGUCUCCUGGAGCACAACUGACUCUUGCCCUACGACUGGGGCCCCGUUUUGCUUCUACGUGCAGAUUUAUUUCAGCAUUUCUGACUGCCCGUAUAGUUACGUGCGUCUUUGAACUGUCCCUUGAACUGUUUGUCGCAUCUUGCUGGUUCCCUCGUGAACCAAGGCGUUAAAUAAACUCUUCGAUACACUUCCAGUUUGGCUCUGUAGGAGCCCUGGUUUUGUCUUUUAAAAA